GGCAGACCCAGGACACUCUCACCACCUCCUUACCUUUUCCCCUGGAAAAAUCUUCUGGUUCUAUGGACACAUGGUUUGCAUUAGUCAGAAGAGCAUUUACACAAAACAGAAAACAAAAUACCCUGAGUCAGAGACAAGAUUUCUGUGGCCCUGGAGUGGCUCCCAGACAGCCCUAUACAGGAGGUGCUGCCCAUGGCCCCUGGGGACCCCUCCAGGGUAGGGGCUGAAAACCAGAAAAUAAUACAUGUUGAGAGGAUGUGGAGAAAUUGGAACCCUAGGUGCUUUGCUGCCGAGAAUGUGAAAUGGUGCAGUCACAGCAGUAUAGAAGACAGUGCCUUUCUCCUGACUGGAAUUGUGAAUCUUUUUCUUUUUUCAUUUGUGGUAAAAUACACAUAACCUAAAAUUUGCAUCCUAGGCCAGGAGUGGUGGCUCACGCCUGUAAUCCCAGCACUUUGGGAGGCCGAGACGGGUGGAUCACCUGAGGUCAGGAGUUCUAGACCAGCCUGGCCAACAUGGUGAAACCCCGUCUCUACUAAAAAUACCAAAAUUAGCUGGGCAUGCUAGCGGGUGCCUGUAAUCCCAACUACUUGGGAGGCUGAGGCAUGAGAAUUGCUUGAACCUGGGAGGUGGAGGUUGUGGUGAGCCGAGAUUGCGCCACUGCACUCCAGCCUGGCCGACAGACAGUGAAACUCCAUCUAAAAAAAAAAAAAAAAAAAAAAAUUUACAUUCUAACCGUUUCCAAGUGUACAUUCAGUGGCUUUAUGUACAUUCACAUUGAUGCGCAACCAUCACCACCAUCCAUCUCCAGAAUGCUUUUCACCUUCCCAAGCAGAAACUCUGUGCCCAUGAAACACUAACUCUCCUUUCCUCCCAUCCCCUGACAAUCAUUCUACUUCCCAUCUCUAACUCUCUUUUCCCCCAUCCCCUGACAAUCAUUCUACUUCUCCUCUCUAACUCUCCUUUCCCCCAUCCCCUGAUAAUCAUUCUACUUCCUGUCUCUAUGAUUUUCACUGUUCUGUGUCCCUCCUAGAAGUGGACUCAUAUAGUAUUUGUCUUUGGUGACUGGUUUAUUUCACUUAGCAGAGUGUCUUUUGGGUUCAUCCAUGUUAUCAUGCAUCUCUUAUAAUUUCCUUCCUUUUAAAGGCUGUGUGCAUACACCGCAUUUUGUUUAUGGAAUUAUGACCCUUUUAAAUGUCCCUAAAAUUGCACCUGUUGGCUGUAGCUGCGCCUAUAGGUUGUAGCUGGAGGACAUUCCUGCCCAUUGUUGGUUUCUGUUCCUUUCUGCCUUUCUGACCCAGCCUCCAACUGCUCCGGUCUAAGGAGAUAAGAAGCCACACAGGCCUCUGGCAGGGGCUGGGUCUCCUUUCUGCAGGAAGUGCUUCAGGCCCCUCUUCUUGGUCUCUCCCUGAAGUAAGAGGCCUCAAGUGGAGUCCUGAGGGGCAUGAUGAGGGCUGUGCCCUGAACAGGUGCAAAGUAUGGAGGGAAAAUGUGGAGCCUGAGGAAGGCAUCUUGAGGCUGGAGCAGGGAAGGCCGAGUGGGCACCUCCUUAGUUGAGCUGCCUUAGGACAAGGGAGCAGUGAUGGUGGCUUCAACAGGAAAAGAGAAGCUGAUUCUGACUGGAAGGGCACCAGCUGCCAUUCCUGCAGGAACGAACAAGUGUUUUCCCAGGAAGAUGGGGUCAGGUCGCUGAAUCUGAUGGGUCCUGGCUCUG
rnacentral:lncRNA from 1 species